ACGAACGCUGGCGGCGUGCCUCAUACAUGCAAGUUGAGCGCUGAAGGUUGGUACUUGUACCAACUGGAUGAGCAGCGAACGGGUGAGUAACGCGUGGGGAAUCUGCCUUUGAGCGGGGGACAACAUUUGGAAACGAAUGCUAAUACCGCAUAAAAACUUUAAACACAAGUUUUAAGUUUGAAAGAUGCAAUUGCAUCACUCAAAGAUGAUCCCGCGUUGUAUUAGCUAGUUGGUGAGGUAAAGGCUCACCAAGGCGAUGAUACAUAGCCGACCUGAGAGGGUGAUCGGCCACAUUGGGACUGAGACACGGCCCAAACUCCUACGGGAGGCAGCAGUAGGGAAUCUUCGGCAAUGGACGAAAGUCUGACCGAGCAACGCCGCGUGAGUGAAGAAGGGUUUCGGAUCGUAAAACUCUGUUGGUAGAGAAGAACGUUGGUGGGAGUGGAAAGCUCAUCAAGUGACGGUAACUACACAGAAAGGGACGGCUAACUACGUG
rnacentral:rRNA from 1 species